UCUCAAGUGACAUAAGGGCAUUUAGUGGAUGCCUUGGCGCAUGGAGGCGAUGAAGGACGUGGCAGGCUGCGAAAAGCCUCGGGGAACCGCCAGCAGGUUUUGAUCCGAGGAUAUCCGAAUGGGGAAACCCACCCUUAGGGGUAUCGUGCACUGAAUACAUAGGUGUACGAGGCGAACCCGGUGAACUGAAACAUCUAAGUAACCGGAGGAAAGGACAUCAACAGAGACUCCCCUAGUAGUGGCGAGCGAACGGGGACCAGGCCAAUGCUUCUCUUGAAUUUACCGGAACUGUCUGGAAAGGCAGGCCAUAGUGGGUGAUAGCCCCGUACGGGACGGAAGAGAGAGAAGAUUCGAGUAGGGCGGGACACGUGAAAUCCUGUCUGAACGUGGGAGGACCACCUUCCAAGCCUAAGUACUACCAUGCGACCGAUAGCGUACAAGUACCGUGAGGGAAAGGUGAAAAGCACCCCGAUGAGGGGAGUGAAAGAGAACCUGAAACUGAAUGCCUACAAGCAGUCGGAGCCUCCAUGUGAGGUGACGGCGUACCUUUUGUAUAAUGGGUCAGUGAGUUAGUCUACUUAGCAAGCUUAAGCCGUUAGGUGUAGGCGUAGCGAAAGCGAGUCUGAAUAGGGCGACUGAGUUAAGUGGAUUAGACCCGAAACCCGGUGAUCUAGGUAUGAGCAGGUUGAAGGUCGGGUAACACCGACUGGAGGACCGAACCCACGUCUGUUGAAAAAGACGGGGAUGACUUGUGCCUAGGGGUGAAAGGCCAAUCAAACCGGGAGAUAGCUGGUUCUCCGCGAAAACUAUUUAGGUAGUGCCUCAGGUAUUACCUACGGGGGUAGAGCACUGGAUGGAUGCGGGGGGCGCGAGCCUUACCAAGUCUAACCAAACUCCGAAUACCGUAGAGUAGAGCCUGGGAGACAGACUGUGGGUGCUAACGUCCAUAGUCGAGAGGGAAACAACCCUGACCACCAGCUAAGGUCCCUAAAUCUUGUCUAAGUGGGAAAGCAUGUGGGACGGCCAAAACAACCAGGAUGUUGGCUUAGAAGCAGCCAUCAUUUAAAGAAAGCGUAACAGCUCACUGGUCUAAAUAAGCUGUCCUGCGGCGAAGAUGUACCGGGGCUCAAGACAAGUACCGAAGCUGUGGAUGUGCGUAAGCACGUGGUAGCGGAGCGUUCCGUAAGCCGUUGAAGGUGUGGCGUGAGCCAUGCUGGAGGUAUCGGAAGCGAGAAUGCUGACAUGAGUAGCGACAAACAGUGUGAGAGACACUGUCGCCGAAAGUCCAAGGGUUCCUGCGCAAGGCUAAUCCGCGCAGGGUGAGCCGGCCCCUAAGGCGAGGCCGAAAGGCGUAGUCGAUGGGAAUCUGGUUAAUAUUCCAGAGCCUGGAGGGAUGUGACGGAUACUGUAAGUUGUUCGCUCUUAUUGGAUUGAGCGGGCCGCGAAGGUGUCCCAGGAAAUAGCCCCUCCUUAUAGACCGUACCCCAAACCGACACAGGUGGACUGGUAGAGUAUACCAAGGCGCUUGAGAGAACUGUUCUGAAGGAACUCGGCAAAUUACCUCCGUAAGUUCGCGAGAAGGAGGCCCAUCUUUGAGGCAACUCAUUGGUGGGGGCACAAACCAGGGGGUGGCGACUGUUUACUAAAAACACAGGGCUCUGCGAAGUCUAAAGACGACGUAUAGGGUCUGACGCCUGCCCGGUGCCGGAAGGUUAAGGAGAGCGGUGAGAGCUGCGAACUGAAGCCCCGGUAAACGGCGGCCGUAACUAUAACGGUCCUAAGGUAGCGAAAUUCCUUGUCGGGUAAGUUCCGACCUGCACGAAUGGCGUAACGACUUCCCCACUGUCUCCAGAACAGACUCAGCGAAAUUGAAUUCUCCGUGAAGAUGCGGAGUACCCGCGGUCAGACGGAAAGACCCCAUGCACCUUUACUCCAACUUCAGAGUGGCAUUAGGGAUAACAUGUGUAGCAUAGGUGGGAGGCUUUGAAGCAGGGACGCCAGUUCUUGUGGAGCCAUCAUUGAAAUACCACCCUUGUUGUUCCUGAUGUCUAACCACGUCCCGUGAAGCCGGGACUGGGACCCUCUGUGGUGGGGAGUUUGACUGGGGCGGUCGCCUCCCAAAUGGUAACGGAGGCGCGCGAAGGUAGGCUCAGACCGGUCGGAAAUCGGUCGUUGAGUGCAAUGGCAUAAGCCUGCCUGACUGUGAGACUGACAAGUCGAACAGAGACGAAAGUCGGUCAUAGUGAUCCGGUGGUUCUGUGUGGAAGGGCCAUCGCUCAACGGAUAAAAGGUACGCUGGGGAUAACAGGCUGAUACUGCCCAAGAGCUCAUAUCGACGGCAGUGUUUGGCACCUCGAUGUCGGCUCAUCACAUCCUGGGGCUGGAGCAGGUCCCAAGGGUUCGGCUGUUCGCCGAUUAAAGUGGUACGUGAGCUGGGUUUAGAACGUCGUGAGACAGUUCGGUCCCUAUCUGCCGUGGGCGCAAGAGACUUGAGAGGAGUUGCCCCUAGUACGAGAGGACCGGGGUGAACGCACCUCUGGUGUACCUGUUGUGGCGCCAGCCGCAUCGCAGGGUAGCUAUGUGCGGACGGGAUAACCGCUGAAAGCAUCUAAGCGGGAAGCCUCCCUCAAGAUAAGGUCUCUCUGAGAGCCGUGGAAGACCACCACGUUGAUAGGCCGGGUGUGGAAGUGUGGUAACACAUGAAGCUAACCGGUACUAAUUGCUCGAUAGGCUUGAGAGC
rnacentral:rRNA from 1 species